GGGGAAUAUUGGACAAUGGGCGCAAGCCUGAUCCAGCAAUGCCGCGUGAGUGAAGAAGGCCUUAGGGUUGUAAAGCUCUUUCAGUGGGAAAGAUAAUGACGGUACCCACAGAAGAAGCACCGGCUAACUCCGUGCCAGCAGCCGCGGUAAUACGGAAGGUGCUAGCGUUGUUCGGAAUUACUGGGCGUAAAGAGCACGUAGGCGGUUUAGUAAGUUAGAAGUGAAAGCCCAAGGCUCAACCUUGGAAUUGCUUCUGAUACUGCUAGACUAGAGAUUGAUAGAGGGUGAUGGAAUUCCUAGUGUAGAGGUGAAAUUCUUAGAUAUUAGGAGGAACACCGGUGGCGAAGGCGGUCACCUGGGUCACAUCUGACGCUGAGGUGCGAAAGCGUGGGGAGCAAAC
rnacentral:rRNA from 1 species